CAGUCGAGCGGAUGACGGGAGCUUGCUCCUUGAUUCAGCGGCGGACGGGUGAGUAAUGCCUAGGAAUCUGCCUGGUAGUGGGGGACAACGUUUCGAAAGGAACGCUAAUACCGCAUACGUCCUACGGGAGAAAGCAGGGGACCUUCGGGCCUUGCGCUAUCAAAUGAACCUAGGUCGGAUUAACUAGUUGGUGAGGUAAUGGCUCCCCCAGGCGACCAUCCCUAACUGGUCCGAAAGGAAGCCCAGGCCCAAUGGAACU
rnacentral:rRNA from 1 species